rnacentral:rRNA from 1 species
UAACGCGUGGAUAAUCUACCUACGAGAUGGGGAUAACUAUUAGAAAUAGUAGCUAAUACCGAAUAAGGUCAAUUGAGGUGUUAAUUGAUGAAAGGAAGCCUUUAAAGCUUCGCUUGUAGAUGAGUCUGCGUCUUAUUAGCUAGUUGGUGGGAUAAGAGCCUACCAAGGCUAUGAUAAGUAACCGGCCUGAGAGGGUGAUCGGUCACACUGGAACUGAGAUACGGUCCAGACUCCUACGGGAGGCAGCAGCUAAGAAUCUUCCGCAAUGGGCGAAAGCCUGACGGAGCGACACUGCGUGAACGAAGAAGGUCGAAAGAUUGUAAAGUUCUUUUAUAAGUGAGGAAUAAGCUUUGUUGGAAAUGACAAAGUGAUGACGUUAAUUUAUGAAUAAGCCCCGGCUAAUUACGUGCCAGCAGCCGCGGUAAUACGUAAGGGGCGAGCGUUGUUCGGGAUCAUUGGGCGUAAAGGGUGAGUAGGCGGAUAUGCAAGUCUAUGUGUAAAAUACCACAGCUCAACUGUGGAGCUAUGCUGGAAACUGCAUGACUAGAGUCUGAUAGGGGAAGUUAGAAUUCCUGGUGCAAGGGUGGAAUCUGUUGAUAU